UGUAUUAAGAUUGGAAAAACCUGAAAAAGGAAGCUCUGGGAAGAAGUGAAGCCAUAGAAAACUGGAGAACAAGAAAUAGCCGAUGCUGCUAGUGGACAGAGGUCCAGUUGAUCAUCUGGAGGGUAAUGCUGAUUUUGUCUUCAGUGUGAAAAUAAGUAAUUCCAGUGAGCAAGUUCAUUUAGCAUGAAAGGCAGUUUUAUGCACAUGAUAGUUUGAAAUGAAAGCUGUGGGUCUGCUUUUGGAGUAAAUGAAAAGCACCAUUUUUAGUGAAAAGAGGAAGGAAGGACCUGCAAUGGAUUUGAGCAAAAGAUUUAUUGGGAGAGCAGGCUGGCAGUUGGUGGGAUUUUUGCAGCCUCUAAACAAACCUAAUUCUCUUGAUGUGAUACUUGUUGCAUUGCUCUGUGGACAGAAGGAAAGCAUAUAUUGGUUAGAGGAGUGGAAGUGAGCAUGGGAAAUUUCAGCAGAGAAAUGGCAGUUAGUAUAAAGAGAGGGCACUAAAAGAUGAGAUAGAGGAAGCAAUGCAUUGUCCUCUCAACUAGAGGACUAUCCAUGCUAAUAAGGCAUAGUGACUGAUCGGCAGCUCUGUACUUGUCAUCUUACUCCUGCACAAAAUUAUUAAAUUUCUUUAGAUUUGUGGUAAAGUAACAUUGUAAAUGGCUAGAAUUUUAUUUAGGUAAUUCAUGAUACAGCUGUUGUAAGAAAAUGUGAACUAAAGAAUGUAAUAUACUGUGGAAUGUAGAAUAAAUGAACCCCAAUGAA